AUGAACGCUGGCGGCGUGCCUAAUACAUGCAAGUCGAACGAGUUCUGAUUAUUGAAAGGUGCUUGCAUCUUGAUUUAAUUUUGAACGAGUGGCGGACGGGUGAGUAACACGUGGGUAACCUGCCCUUAAGUGGGGGAUAACAUUUGGAAACAGAUGCUAAUACCGCAUAAAUCCAAGAACCGCAUGGUUCUUGGCUGAAAGAUGGCGUAAGCUAUCGCUUUUGGAUGGACCCGCGGCGUAUUAGCUAGUUGGUGAGGUAACGGCUCACCAAGGCAAUGAUACGUAGCCGAACUGAGAGGUUGAUCGGCCACAUUGGGACUGAGACACGGCCCAAACUCCUACGGGAGGCAGCAGUAGGGAAUCUUCCACAAUGGACGCAAGUCUGAUGGAGCAACGCCGCGUGAGUGAAGAAGGCUUUCGGGUCGUAAAACUCUGUUGUUGGAGAAGAAUGGUCGGCAGAGUAACUGUUGUCGGCGUGACGGUAUCCAACCAGAAAGCCACGGCUAACUACGUGCCAGCAGCCGCGGUAAUACGUAGGUGGCAAGCGUUAUCCGGAUUUAUUGGGCGUAAAGCGAGCGCAGGCGGUUUUUUAAGUCUGAUGUGAAAGCCCUCGGCUUAACCGAGGAAGUGCAUCGGAAACUGGGAAACUUGAGUGCAGAAGAGGACAGUGGAACUCCAUGUGUAGCGGUGAAAUGCGUAGAUAUAUGGAAGAACACCAGUGGCGAAGGCGGCUGUCUGGUCUGUAACUGACGCUGAGGCUCGAAAGCAUGGGUAGCGAACAGGAUUAGAUACCCUGGUAGUCCAUGCCGUAAACGAUGAAUGCUAGGUGUUGGAGGGUUUCCGCCCUUCAGUGCCGCAGCUAACGCAUUAAGCAUUCCGCCUGGGGAGUACGACCGCAAGGUUGAAACUCAAAGGAAUUGACGGGGGCCCGCACAAGCGGUGGAGCAUGUGGUUUAAUUCGAAGCAACGCGAAGAACCUUACCAGGUCUUGACAUCUUUUGAUCACCUGAGAGAUCAGGUUUCCCCUUCGGGGGCAAAAUGACAGGUGGUGCAUGGUUGUCGUCAGCUCGUGUCGUGAGAUGUUGGGUUAAGUCCCGCAACGAGCGCAACCCUUAUGACUAGUUGCCAGCAUUUAGUUGGGCACUCUAGUAAGACUGCCGGUGACAAACCGGAGGAAGGUGGGGAUGACGUCAAAUCAUCAUGCCCCUUAUGACCUGGGCUACACGCGUGCUACAAUGGAUGGUACAACGAGUUGCGAGACCGCGAGGUCAAGCUAAUCUCUUAAAGCCAUUCUCAGUUCGGACUGUAGGCUGCAACUCGCCUACACGAAGUCGGAAUCGCUAGUAAUCGCGGAUCAGCACGCCGCGGUGAAUACGUUCCCGGGCCUUGUACACACCGCCCGUCACACCAUGAGAGUUUGUAACACCCGAAGCCGGUGGCGUAACCCUUUUAGGGAGCGAGCCGUCUAAGGUGGGACAAAUGAUUAGGGUG
rnacentral:rRNA from 1 species